GAUGAACGCUGGCGGCGUGCCUAAUACAUGCAAGUCGAACGAGGCCCUCUUCCUUCGGGAGGAGGUGUCCUAGUGGCGAACGGGUGAGUAACACGUUGGUGACCUACCCCGAAGAGGGGGACAACCCCGGGAAACUGGGGCUAAUACCCCAUGUGAUCCUAAGGAUUAGAUGCCUAAGGAUGAAAUGGAGCAAUUCGCUUCGGGAGGGGCCUGCGGCCUAUCAGCUAGUUGGUGAGGUAAUGGCUCACCAGGGCGACGACGGGUAGGGGACCUGAGAGGGUGACCCCCCACACUGGAACUGAAACACGGACCAGACACCUACGGGUGGCAGCAGUAGGGAAUAUUGCACAAUAGGCGAAAGCCUGAUGCAGCAACGCCGCGUGCGCGAUGAAGGCCUUAGGGUUGUAAAGCGCUUUUCUGGGGGACGAGAAAGGACGGUACCCCAGGAAUAAGUCUCGGCUAACUACGUGCCAGCAGCCGCGGUAAAACGUAGGAGGCGAGCGUUAUCCGGAUUUACUGGGCGUAAAGCGCGUGCAGGCGGUUUGGUAAGUCGGACGUGAAAGCUCCCGGCUCAACUGGGAGAGGCCGUUCGAAACUACCAGGACUAGAGGGCAGCAGAGGGAGGUGGAAUUCCAGGUGUAGCGGUGAAAUGCGUAGAUAUCUGGAGGAACACCAGUGGCGAAGGCGGCCUCCUGGACUGUCCCUGACGCUAAGACGCGAAAGCUAGGGUAGCGAACGGGAUUAGAAACCCCGGUAGUCCUAGCCGUAAACGAUGCACACUUGGUGUUGGUGGCGUAAAAACCAUCAGUGCCGCAGCUAACGCGAUAAGUGUGCCGCCUGGGGACUACGGUCGCAAGGCUAAAACUCAAAGGAAUUGACGG
rnacentral:rRNA from 1 species